UUGCCAGAGAAUGUAAUGUUAAUUUCUCUACCAUAACAUUGUUUUAGAGAAUUUGGCUAUAUUUCCCACAGCCUCACAACCACAGACCACAUGUAACCACGACAGCCAGCUUCUUCACCUGCAGGGUCGUCUGAGACCAGCCACCCGGACAGCUGAUGAAACUUUCCCAACCGAUAUCCAGCAACUUCGCACAGCCAUUGAAGAGGUGUGGGACAACAUUCCACAGUCCUCAAUCAACAGCCUGAUGCAGAGCAAAGGAGAUGUGCCGCGCUGCAUGAGGUAAAUGGUGGUCACACUAGAUACUGACUGGUUUUCUGAUCCACGCCCCAAAUUUUUUAACUUUAAGGUAUCUGGGACCAACAGAUGCAUAUCUGUAUUCCCAGUCAUGUGAAAUCCUUAGAUUAGGGCCUAAUCAUUUAAAAAAAUAUAUAUUUUAAUUUGACUGAUUUCCUUAUAUGAACUGUAACUCAGUAAAAACUUUGAAAUUGUUGCAUGUUGCAUUUAUAUUUUUGUUCAGUAUAUAUUUGUGAACCUAUUCCUGAAGGCGUAUGGCUUCCUGGAGACUCUUCUGUUUUGUUGUUACCUAAUCUGGUGAGGCACAUUAGGCUACUUAACGCAGAAAGACUACAGUCUGGAGGCUGCCACACUAAACAUGCGCUAGUCAAGUGCCUGAAGAAAAAUUACUCGUACCUGGCAAGUGAUACAUCUGGUGGAGUGGAAACUAGAAUGAGGACAAAAGUGAUUCACCCAGGAUGUGGAGUCGCUCUAUCUGCUUCAGUGAAACGUUCAAUGCCACUCCAGGUCACCAGCCAUGCUAGAGUCAUUGCCCUUACUGGCUGGUCGGUACAUCAGCAUAAUUCAUACUGAAGGCUCAGGUUAAUGGCAGUAAAUGAGAUAAGAUUGCCUCACCUGACUCAUUCGCCCUUUCUGCCCCAAGCGUUAGUUCAUUAUUCAUAAGCACUGUAGGAUUGUUUUGACUGCUCUCACCCACACACAGCUGAGACAGAGCUAAUACAAUUACAGGAAUAGUUAACCAACGCCCUAUAAUUGAAACGGGUCCACUGCACUGGGCUACAGAGCCACUGUAGUGGAACGACCACAAUGUUGACCAUUUAGCUCUUUUCAGUGUAGAAUUCAGUUGCUAAUCCAGUCCUUAAUCGCACAUUCAUGGCGCGCACAUACGGCUUACAAACACGCCAUCUGCUUCACUAUAUCUAUAGACAUCUGUAGAGCAUUCCCACUGGGCACACACUGGUUGAAUCAACGUUGUUUCCACGUCAUUUCAAUGAAAUUACAUGGAACCAAUGUGGAAUAGAUGUUGAAUUGGAGUCUGUGCCCAGUGGGUUGUUUUAUGUUUGUGUGUAACGUCUUCCGAUGCUUUUGCAUGUGGUUCAGGGCGAUUUUAAUAUCUCUUGUCUUUCUGUCUAACCUAAGAGGAAAUUAAAGAGCACAGCACUUCCUGUGUGUUCCUCCCAGGGGAGUGGGCCUAUGUCACUGUGUGGACUGGUCUGAGGCAACACCUCUGUCAACCUAAGCAUCAUCUUGUGUAAAAGCCUAUCUGCAAAGGCAAGUAGCUUCUGAAGUUAGAGGUAGGCUAUAUUUAGGCUAUCAGCAUUUCUUUUUUACUUUCUGUUUGCAUGACUAUUAAUGAUUAUGCCUAUAUGCUGCUGAAGCCUAGGCAACAUAGUUCUAUUUUUAUUAGCAUCCCGUGAUUUUUGUCCUCGACUUCUAUUCAGAGGUCUCUGGAAACAUGUUUAUUUUAAGAUCAGCGUCACAACAUACUUUCUAAUGCAAAAUGUCUUCUUUCCCUGUCUGACAUCAAAGAUGCAAUCCCUGAUGUCCGGCAGAGGUGCUUUGGAGCGCACCACAGCUUUGCUUACAGAGAGAACAAGGCUAUCUGAUGGUAUAGGUCUGCUCUGCAAUUGUGGCAUUGUUGUUAUGCAUAUAGUAGGGCAGGUUAUAAAUGUGUACUACCAAAUGCUGAUACUGUAAUUUUCCAUGGCAUAGCGGCCAUUUUCUAUAGUCUACUUUAUCCUUGUUGAAGGUGAGCUGUUGGGGUAGGUUAAAAUGGCUGCCCGUUUAUGGGGUACCAUUUGUCCCUGUUCCAGAUUGCCAUUAGACCAUGAUGUUGAGAUGAGACCACCUCUUCGUAACAAAAAUAUCAUUUUCCAUAUACCCUUAGUUGAAUACUGCCCUAGAGGCAUCCAUAUUGCACCCAAUUGCUUGUUCAACUACAUUACAGCUACGUGUUUUAAUAUUGAAACUCUACUCAUUUUCAGUCUCUAUAUUUCAACUGACUGUCCUAGGCAUCACACUCUACAUAUUACUCAGAAAAGGCAGGGAAGAACGAAUAACCUAAUGACAGAGGUUAGAUUUACAUAAUUGCACAGCAAUAAACCAUACAUUCCGCCCCAGGCCAUAAAACACUAAUUUGGCUUAAAAUGUCCGUAUUGAAACAUAAAAAUGCGUAGUCACUUAACUUAUUAUUAAAAUGAUCAAGCACACUUGUUUGAAGAAAAAUGCAUCUUAAUAAAAUACAUAUUUUUGCUCAUGUUUUCUCUAGGUGCCACGAUUACAAUAUGGCUGGCAGCAGACAGAGAAGAGAAGCCUUGCGUAUCGCUGGGAAACACAGCCUCCUGCCUCCCCGUCUGACAGGCCUAUGUUGUCAUGGCAACAUGCUGUGGCGCAGCACUUAUUGGGAUUCAGAUUCAGACGGAUGGUGGGGCUGGUGGGCGACUGCAUUAGCCGUCCGGGGAUUUGGUUUGGUCCUUCCUCGCAGCGAGCCCUGCCUGUCUGAGAGCCACAGCACCGCAGAGCUCCCAGGCUCCAACACCACCGCAAUGGAGGCUCGCCGCCCUUUGUUUCCACUCUGGAUAUGUGUCAGUGUGUGUGUGAGUCUGCAGCAGAAAUGCAGCAGCCGAUGGACUUUUCUCUCUUCUGCUUAUGGCAGGCGAUGUGCUUCAGCCUUGAUGCUGAUUUCCCCUGGUUUGUGCCGCUUUCCUUGUAUUUUCAUCUGGAAAUUGCCUGCAUAUCUGCGGUUUCAGUUGAUUCUUUUCAAUAAGGGCUGAUAUGACCAAUUUUCUCUCAUCUUGAUGUGCUUUACCCUGUUCACACAUUGAGCGGAAAUGUUGAAUUUGUCAUGAACGGUUGUCUCUUUGCCACACCCUAGUUCACUGUGCCUUAGAAUAUCAUGCGAUAUGCAUUUCAAACCCGUAAACAUUUAAAUUCCCUCAUUUCUGUGAUCCACAAGGCGAGAACAAAACUGUCUUGAAUACAAGCUGUCUAGUCAAACAAAGAGCGAAAAUGGCAUAGCAGAACCCAGUCAAGCCACCCCAUGCAAUAUGUGUAUUUCCGUUAAAGAUUGGUUGGAAACGUGCAGAACAUACCUUUGCGAAUCAGAUAAAAUGACACAGGAGGCGAACAGCUGACACAGGAGGCGAACAGCCAAAAACAUUACGCAGUGUCCUUCCACUAUAGUCCAUAUUCUCUACCGUACAGGAAAAAAAACUUUUGUGAAAGGAAGGCGAAAGUAGGCACUUUUUUUUCUAGACUCGUCGCUGCUCAGUGGUGCCGUUGGAGGCAGAGCUUUCGCUGUUGUCUUUCUUUCCUCCUCUCCCAUUCCCUCCCUCUCUCUUUCUACACUGCUCACUCUGCUUCAACGUCCUUCGUCUCUCCCUAGGUCCUGGUCGAGUACUCCCGCACUCUCCUCUUCCACCCAGUCCUGUCCUGGCUUGCCCCAGCUCUCAGACCAUUGACCACAGGAUUCCCACAUUGAAGUUUAAAAAUAGCUAGACUGGACUAUGGGUCUGUCUGCUGCCUCUGUGCUGCCCGGCUAACUGAAGCCCAGCGGCAUCUACUUUGCAGUCGCCAAGCAGGAAACGGCAACUUUAUUAAUCAUGGCUGAGGACGGUAAAAGAGAGUGGCUCAGUGCUACAUCACACAGCACUACGCCGUGCUGCACAGAUCACAGAGAAAACACCUAGGUUGCACGCCUGCUAUCGGGGUUACGGCGAUACAACUUCAACCAUACCACAAAGUUCACCCACAAUCACAUUUCUGCUCAACUUCUACACCGACACCAUUCAUACUGUAUCUCACAGUCCAAAAGGGAAGCUGGAUCUGUAGCUCACUUUCAAACAGUCACAUCACGCUCUCCAUCUGUCUCAUGCCUAUGCACACAUGCACUUUCUCUUUGUGUGUGCUAUUGUGUACACUCAACCCUCUCUCGCUCUUUGUCAGCACAUCUGUGUGCAUUGCCUCAUGAACAUGAUAAGCCUACAAAGCUCGUUUGUAUAUAGCAGCAUAAUCAAUGAGAUAUCUGUGACUAUAUAUGGUUUAUUUCUCUCAUCUACUUCUGCACUUUCAAAGUAAGAGAUAGUGAGAGAAAAAAGGAUGUAGAAGAGAGCAGGGGGAGAGGAGGACCGUCAUCUUUAUGGAGGCUGCUGAUGGAUGGGAACACAGAGGGAUGCCUCAUCACUGCAGAGUGCAGGAGGGAGGGGCUAAACCAAGCAGGCAGGGCAAUGCUAGCCCCACCAGCUGCUGUAGAUGCACACAGUUGCUUUAUGCAUAUGAAGGCGGAAGGGUUUUAUUACAAGUGUUUUUGAAUUUGCAAACGUGUCUUUGCUUUCUUUCCAGGGUCAGGGAUGAGGCUUCUGCACCCGGGUGUGAAAUCCAUGCACAUUUUACAUUUACUUGGUCUCACAGAACAGAUUUGCCUCAUGAAAUGCAUGGAAGACAUUUGUUGUGCACUUUCUACCAGUGUUCCUUAAGCUUAUCAUGAAAAUCCCCAUGCCUCUGUCCCCUCCUGCUUUCUGUGCUUUCUCUCUCCUCUGCUCAUUACUAGUCACAUGGCCUUGUGGUUGUGAUCGACACACAAUUAACCACAAGCUCAGCCGUCUGCCAGCUAUUUCUGGUGCAGGCCUACCCGGCUUGAUUGUUGACAUUACCUGAGUGCGAUCAAGGCCCCUGUCUGCUUGCAUUGGCCUGGGUAAGCAGUACACCAGCCUGGAGCACGCCAGCCCUCACACUUCUGUAAGCCGCUGCACUUUGGCAUGACCUUGUUGCUGUGGCAACCUUUGAAGAAAACAGUGCUACCUUAACAGCAUGGUGGUAUGAAAGAGUAAAGGUUGCGAACCUUACACGUUCUGGGAGGGAGCCUCUGAAAGCCAAAGGAAAUAUGAUUUGACAUGUUUGAGUGGCCACUAUCAUGCCUUUAUCUCAGUUUUUCCUCUGGUGUCUUUCCGUUCUCUUCCUUCAGUGUUAAGACAUUCCUGCUAUGUAUGGUUAAUGGUCUUGCCUGCUUCCUCCCCACUUUUCCUGUAUUUGUAGUCUUGCCUGCACAAUCGAUUUCCACUGGUGAACUGCAGGGGAACUCAACAUCCCAAAACAAAUAAUAAGUCUAGCCCUCCUUUACCAUCCAUGCUGUUUAAAAAAUAAAAAAUAAAUUGUUUUAAGAAUUGCAAAUGAAGUGCCUGCAGUACCUACUGUUUGUCUCAAUUACCACAACCCCUCUCCCACAGUAUUUGUUAGUACUUCGAAUGUCUUGCAAACAAAGAAUACAUAAAGAGCGGUUGAAAUUUGAACAAAUCAUUUGGACAAAUUUAUAUUGCUAUGAACACAUGAUUAUUUGUGGAUAUUGGAGAAAUUAAAAUGAUCCAACCUGUUGA